rnacentral:rRNA from 1 species
GAUGAACGCUAGCUACAGGCUUAACACAUGCAAGUCGAGGGGCAGCGCAGUGUAGCAAUACAUGGGCGGCGACCGGCGCACGGGUGCGUAACGCGUAUCCAACCUUCCCGUUACUCAGGGAUAGCCUUCCGAAAGGGAGAUUAAUACCUGAUGGUGUUGAAAUUCCGCAUGUUAUUUCAACUAAAGAUUUAUCGGUAACGGAUGGGGAUGCGUGACAUUAGAUAGUAGGCGGGGUAACGGCCCACCUAGGUCUACGAUGGUUAGGGGUUCUGAGAGGAAGGUCCCCCCANACUGGAACUGAGACACGGUCCAGACUCCUACGGGA